rnacentral:lncRNA from 1 species
GCUCCAAGCCUCAACAUCAAGCUUGGGACAAUUACUGGUCACCAACAUUGAAACUUAUAAUCUCCUUUUUCACAACAAUAACAACUCAUGAUGCAUGAAUGAAUGCAUGCAUCAUCACAACAACUCAACAACACAAACAUUAUCACAUCAAUCACAUAAUUUCCUGUACAACCUAAACAUGAUAGUUUCACAUCUAAACCAUGCAUCUCAACUUAACAUGUCAUUAAAAUACAAAAAUCAAACAACCUGCAAUUAUAUCAACAAUUUACCAGACCAACUCAUCAACAACGGAAACUCAACGUUUUGCCAAGUGGUUCAUCACAUCAUCAUUAAAACCACAACAUAAUUACACCCAUAAUCCUAGUUUAAUCAUACCAAAUCUCACUAUCAUUGUGUAGCUCAACGUGUUAGCUUUCCAACACUUUAAACGACAUCUAAAUCGGACUUAUGAAAUGAAAGUUAUGACCAAAAUCAUCGGGAUAUGUCAACUAAUUCAUUAACCGAACAUAUGAACAAAAACUUCAUCUUUACAGUAGGAAUAAGAGUAAUACUAGAACAAUUUACCUAUCAUAACUAUUCUAUAGCUCUGAGCAUUAUCUUUCUAAUGCUUCAAAUGGGGUAUGAUUUGGAUGCACGGUUAUAAAGUUAUGAGAUAAAACGUCGAAACAUGUUACAAUCGCGAAACAUAAAAAUUUGCUAUACUACAACAACAAUUGAUUGUCAUUGGAUGACAACCGAUUGUCAUAAACGCCCAUGCCAAAAAUCACAUUUUAAAAGCAUGACAAUGGAUUGUUGACUUGGUAUAACCGAUUGUCAUUAAUAUAUUUUUCAAAAUUCACACUAGUGCAAUCAGUUGUCAUUUGGGAACAACUGAUUAUCACUGUGUAUUUUUCUAAAAACCCAGUUUCUUCUGUUACGUGAAUCUCCCAAUUUCAACCUUUUUCACCUUAAAUCAGUCUCAAUUGCAAUAGUCCAAAUCAUCUCUAAUUACACUAAAACAACAUCAAACACAUCCAUCCAAAUUUAUUAGACACAAACACAUCAAAUUCUCAUGAAUUGAUCAUUAAGAUUUACACAUAGAAUCACCCAAGUUCAUAUCACAACUCAAGAAAUAAACCGCCCAUCAACACUUAACAUUGUAAUUUUAAAUCAAAGCAUACAACAAUAAUCUAUUAACAUAUAUGACCAGUCAUACUCAUCAACAUUUCAUCCAAAAUCAAUUGGUACACAAACCCUAACCGAGGUCAAGGGACACCCCGUACCAUUUCAUGAUUUAACACCCAUAUAUGAAUGAUUCCCCCCUUACCUUGUGAUUGCAAAAAAUUCUUGAUCGAUCCUUGACUUUUCCUCUCCCAAGCCCUAAGCCUCUUUUCACUUUUCUCUCAAAACACAUAUUGUAACCUCUAUCCCCUCACAAUUUUUUUUUUUAAUUUUUAUAUCAAAAACAUAGUUUCCUCAUUAGGCUAUCCCCGUCUUAACCUUAAUAUAUUUCCAUAAUGCCUACCUUGUCCUCAGUUACUCAACAUAAGCUCAAUAUUGUCAUUCCCCUAUUUAUUUUCUAUUUUUAUUUCAUUUAGUUAUUCUAAUUUUAUUACUUUCUCUCUAAUAAUAAAACAAAAUAAAUAAAUUCACUAAAAGCUAUUUUAUCCAUAUUUUCUUUAAUUAAUAAUUAAAACUCUUAACAUUUUAAUUAUUCUACCACUUUUCCACUAUCCUUCUCAACCAUCCCUCUGCACCUGAUACACAUGAAAAACAUAACUCAUCACAAAAUAUAUAAUUAAAUCAAAAUGAAUUACUAAAAUUGGGGUGUUACACUUGUGGUGAUGAAAUUCCCAUAUCUGGUUGUACGAAAUACGCCACUACUUGACUUAUGGCAAUGGGCAUUUCCUCGAUGGAGGUUGGAGUCACAGAACUGCCGACACUAGUAACCGUCGAUUGCCCUCCUAUGUUUAAAGUGUUACUUUUGAGACAUUUUGGAAAGUUAGUUACCACUCCUCAAGUGCUUACAACAUAAAAAACAACACAAAUGGAAGACACUACAAAGAAAAUAAUGUAAGACACCUUUUUUUGGCAAAAAUAUUCGCAUAAAAAGGUCUCAUCGGAUGUGUCAAUUUGUUUACCGAUGUCUUUGGUAAAUAAUCACGAGUUUGAAAGUCUGUGAGAUUAACUCAAAAAAUCUCCAAAGCAAUUUGUGCAAAUGGUUUGUGUAAACACACGUGCGUGUGAAUUGAAUGCAGUUGUCGCAUGAAUGAUAAUGACGUAGAAAAAGAAUUUAAAUGAAGUUAGAUUGUGAUAAAUGAUAAGGUAAAAUGCAAUAAAUGAAAUUAAACAAAGAAAAAGUAAAAGUACAUGUUCUGUUUAAGGAAACAAAAGACUAUUGAAAAAGAUUGGACGCAGACACAUACAUGUUUCUCGCUCAACCGUUUCGCUCUUUGACUCGGGUACUCCAGUGGUUUGGAGAGUAUGUAUGAAAUUUUGCAACCUUUGAUCCCAUAUAUUAUCUUGAUAUUUAUUAUAUUUAGAAAGUAACCUUCGAUAAUGGUUAUGACCACUAAGGAACUCAUGCAUUCACUCCACAUUCAAUCUUCAAGUUCCCACUAGUGUGUUUACGUGCUACCCGUACCACUGUAUAUUUGCAAACUAUGUUGAGUUGUAACUACUCCCAACUUCCUCAUGAACCUUCGAUGGUAAUUGAUUUAACAUGUUGUCGACGCUGACUAUCAAGGACUAUAAAAUUGUAAAUUUACUAAGUCUUUCACUUUACGUGUCUCAGUCGACUGAUCUUCUUGAUGAAAUAAAGGCUUUUAUCGACUGUCUUUUUUUUUUAAGAUUUUGGACAUGUUUCCCAACGACCCGGGUCUUGGGAGUUUAUCCCUGAGAGUCAUCCAAACCAUAUAUCCAUGUUUCGACGACUCGGUUGAUCCUUCGUUAUUGGUCUGUUGACGCUUCAACAUUUAUGCUUUUUAAGAAACUUCAUUAAUGCUUGUUGACUUUCCACUAACUGAAAAAUCCAAAUGAAACAGGUUCACGUCGAGUUUUUGGCAGAGUUUGAAAGAAGCUUUGGGUACUAAGAUGAAUUAGAGUUUCACUUAUCACCUGCAGAUUGAUGGGCAAAUGGAGAAGACCAUAGAAUCCUUGGAGGAUUUGUUGAGGGCUUGUGUGCUAGAAUAAGGAGGUGCUUGGGAUAACUAUUUACCGCUGAUUGAGUUCACUUAUAAUAACAGUUUUCACUCAAGUAUUGGGAUAGACCCCUUUAAGGUGUUGUAUGGUAGGAGGUGUAUGGAACCUCUGUGUUGGUAUGAAUCCGGCGAGAGUGCAAUGAUAGGACAUGAGAUUAUGCAAUAAACUUCAAAGAAGAUCAAGAUGAUCCAAGAGAAGAUGAAAGCUUCAUAGAGUCUCUAGAAGAGUUACCAUGAUAAAAGUAGUAAAGAACUUGAGUUCCAAGAGGGAGACCAUGUGUUUUUGAGAGUUACUCCAAUAACCGGUGUUGGCCGAGUGUUGAAGUCUCAAAAUCUCACGCCGCAUUUUGUUGGGCCAUACCAGAUCUUGUAGAGGAUAUGAGAGGUGACCUAUCGGAUUGUCUGCCACCAUCACUUUCUAAUCUUCAUGAUAUGUUUUAUAUGUCUCAAUUGAGGAGAUACAUUAUGGAUUUGUCUCAUGUGAUCCAAGUGGAUGAUAUACAUGUGAGAGAGAACCUGGUUGUUGAGGCAUCGCCCAUGCAGAUAAAGGAUCAGGAAGUGAAGCAGUUGUGUGGUAAGGAGAUUGCCUUUGUGAAGAUAAUGUGGGGAGGACCAACUGGUGGAAGCAUAAAUUAGGAGCUAGAGAGUCAGAUGAGUGAGUCAUAUCCGACUCUGUUUACUUCAGGUAAUUUUUUAGGGCAAAAUUUUUUCUAAGUGGGGGAAAUUUGUAACACCCCAUAUUCGAUUAAUUAAUUUAAUUUAAUUAUUUAAAAUUUUAUUUGAUUAAUUGGUAUUUUAAAUUAUUUGUUGUGUGAUUAUGAGGAUAAGUAUCAUUGAAGUAAAAGUAUAGAGAGAGUAAGAGUUUGAUAUAGUUAUUUAGAAUUAAUUAAAAUUUUAAUUAAUUAUUAGAAUAAAUAAUAUUUUAUUUAAAUGAUUGAAUAAAAUAGUAAAAUAGGAGUUUUGGGCCAUUGUGAGAAUUAGAGAAAAUAUGUGGUGAGAGUAUAUGAACUUGUAAUGAGUUGGGCAAAAACAGUAAUUUAGAAACACUAUAUUCUAAAAGUUGGGAGAUGAGCUAGGUUUUUAGAGAAAUAUGACAAUACGUAAAAUAAGAGGCAAAGAGGAACCAAGAGUUUUUGGGAAGGAGAGCUAAGUUGGGAAGAGGGACUUAUAGAAAUUGUUCAAUUAACUAUCAUUGUUGGAAAUCUAAGAUAAGGGGGAGAAAAUGCUACAAAUCUAUGUGUAUUGCAUGACGACCAAAGAUGAGAGGUCCUUUACUCUCUUUAGGGAAAUUGGGAUGUGAUUAAUUCUGAAUGUCUUUGAUGUUUCGAUGUUAUUAUAUGUUUUAAUGAUGAAUUUCGUAUGCAUAUAUAUGUACUAUUUUAUGUUUUGAGAUAUUGAUGUUUUCCACCAUGUUUGAAGGUUUUGGGGUAAAUAUGAUUUUGAGGGAUUGAUUGAUUAAAUGUGCUAAAGCAUGAAAAUAAUAUGCCAUGGAUGCAUAUAUGUCAUGUAUGUAUUAUUUUGGGUUGGUUUUGGUGGAUGAGGGUGAAAGAAUGUGAGUUUUCUUUGAUCUCCAUUGUUGAAAACGUGUUUUUGAUGUUCUGAAUGAUCAUGACACCCAUGAUAGUUUUCCACUCAGGUUCAUGACGGUCGUCAUGCCAUGACGCCCAUGGUAGUCAUGCACAUGUAACUUGCAUAAUUUGGUUGUUUGCUUGUAUUAGAAUGCAAAAUCCAUUUUUUUUUUGACUUUUGUUGGCUGGUUGGCUAUUGUUAGCUACUAUUUGAUAUUGUUGUGACGUGAGUUAAUGAUCAGACAUAUUUGAUCGAAGUUAUGAAAUGAUGGAUGAAUGAUGGGAAUAUUUUGAAUUUUGUUGAACAUUUGUGCAUAUUUUAUGACAAUUUCGUGAUGAUUGAUUGUUGCGUAUGAUGAAUGAUGUGGUGUAUAAAUGGUGAGAUGUGUAUCGUGAUCCUUUUGGUGAACCUUUUAGUGAACCUCUUGGUGAUAAUGCAUGUUAUCGAGAGUCAUGCAUCAUGGUGUACAAACUUUGGUCCAGUUUUGAUGUGCUCUAGUCUGAUGGUGGGGAUCAGAAGUGAGUAGCCGAUUCCAUGUGGGAGCUGGUGAAGCGUUACCUAUGAUGGUGGUAAGAAUUUGAUGUGCUCUGGUCCUAUGGUGGGGAUCCGUAGCGAGAUGAACCUGAGUGUUCAUGAAUGGUACCACAUGCAUAAUGAGUCAUUUGUGGAGUACAUUUGCAUACAUAAUUGCACAUGUAGUUGACUGUUUCAUGUGUUGAUUGAUUGGUUGAGAAUAUCUACAGGUUGUCAUGAUUUUGGUGUGAGAAUAUGUUAUGGAUGAUUGUGUAAUGAAUGUGUACUUGUCGUGUAUUCUUUACUUUAGCAUUCUUUACACUGUUUAUAUUUGUUUGUUGUUUCUCACCCCUUUUGCUUUCAUGUUGUCCACCAUGGACAUCUUGCAAACACUUAGGAGUAGAGUUUGCUGAUGUAAGUGAAAGUUAGUUCCUGAAGUUACUUCGUUUAGUUUCAUCGUUGUUUAGAAGGUUUGCUCUGAUUAUGUAACAUCGGGGUUGAGAGCCUUUGUUUGCUUAUUAUGUUUUGUUGGAGUUUAAUCAUUUUUAUUCGGUUUAUGUUGAAGUUGUUAAAAAGUGGAAUAUGAUUUUCAAAAUAAAGACUAAGAGUCUAAAUUAUGUUGUUUUAUUUAAUUGAAAUAAUAUCGAAUAUCGCCGUAAUGAUACCCUAAGUGAAGGUGAGCGUGCGAUGACAAGUGUUGUAUGACGUUUAUACUUUCCGUUGUGUGUUUGUUAAAGAUUUUAUCGUCGGUGACACCUUAGAUUAUCGUGUAAAGCUUAAUAUAUAAGUAUCAGGGUUUAGGGUAUUACAUAAACCACCUAUAUAGAGUUUCUCACCUCAUCGUGUGAGUUAACUCUAAUCCUUAACAUACCCAAAGCCUCUAAUAACUUUUAUCCAUUAGCGAUUAUAAUGCUCAUUGUACUUUUAUCCAGUACAUAUAUCUACACUAAGAAUGAACAGUUUGCUCCUUUUACCAUUCAACUAUUUAUGGGAAAUUUUUCCAUAACCCUCGUAAUGUCACUUUUAAUGUCCUCCAAUAAUUCUUUUACAAACUCGAAAUUUACCUUAUUCGUUUUUAGGCUUUUAAAGCUAUCACACUCCCAAAUCGCUUGUCUGACUUCAUCUUCCAUAAACUCCCGAAUCAACUCCUCACUUAAAUCUCCAUCCAUCUUUUUGAAAUCAAAAUUAGUUGAAUAUAGUCUUGCACCCCUACUUGAGAAUUACUUCCGAAAAUACUCGAAGAAUUUAUUUUUAAUUUCCUUUACAUCUUUGGCCUUCUUCCAUUUUCCUAUAUAAUAAAAAUUUCAUUGUCUUUUCUUCCGAUAUUCAUUCAUCUAUGUUAAGACUUAUUUGCAUCCCCUUUACAAUACUAAAUUUUGGACUUUUGUCAUUAAUAUAAUAAAAAAGGAAAAACAAUUUUGUAUGUUUUAAAUUAUAAAUUUGAUAAAGAUAUUUUUGUAAAAAAAAUAGUUUUUUAAAGUAUAAAAGAAAAAUUAAUAAAUUAUAAAUAUAAAAAAUGGGUUUUAAAAUUAAGGUAUAGAGGGCAAUUACUUUACUUUUGUUUCUACUUUUCUUUUCCUUUCUUUUAUAUGUCUAUGAGGAAACUUUUUCUUCAUUUUGGUCAAAUUUAUUAUACUUGCAAAGCUGUCGUUUUUAAUGUGAAACGGACAUAGUAAAUAAUUACCCCAAUAUUUUAAAAUUAACAACAACAAAAAAAACUGCGGCGCUUUUUUGAGCAUUUUAAGUUUAACGUUUCUCCACUCUUCUCUCUUUCUCUACUCUCUCUCUUGUUUCCGAGUGUAGCAACAGAGAAAGAGCACAAACCAGAUUCGAAGACAAAAAUGGCGGGUUACAGAGCCGACGACGACUACGACUAUCUCUUCAAGGUAGUUCUGAUCGGCGACUCCGGCGUAGGUAAAUCCAACCUUCUUUCUCGGUUCACGAAGAACGAGUUCAAUCUCGAGUCCAAAUCCACCAUUGGUGUUGAAUUCGCUACUCGUACUUUAAAUGUUGAUUCCAAAGUCAUUAAGGCUCAGAUCUGGGAUACUGCUGGUCAAGAGAGGUAAUUUUCAUCACUCUAACGAUCGAUCGUGGUUAAGCGAUGAAUUUGUAGCUGAGUUUUGGAUUUUGUGGUUUGGUUUUUGAAUGUUUGUGAUUUUGUUGAAUGGAUCUGAUCUGUGGAUACUCGAGUUUUUAUUGUAGUGUAGUGGAUCGUGAUCCGUUGUUGGAGUGUUCUUCAUUUCGAAUGCUUGAGUAUUUGAAUAGUGUAGAGUUAGAAAACAAUAGAAGAAGAUGAAGAAAUUAAUUUUGUGUUUGUGGAAUUAGUUUAGGUAAUUAAUUAAUUAAUACUUCUAUUAGCGGUAAGGAAAUAUUUUUUAGAUUCAAUUUAAUAGACUUCAGUGUUUAUUUUGAUUUUCCAUAUUAGCGGUGGAGUUUGGACUCAGGUCCAUUAUUUUUGACUUUUUGUUUAUAAAAAAUCAAGAAUUUAAUUUUGUUUAAAAAAACCAAGAGUUUUAACUUUUAUGAAAAUAAUAUACUCAUGUCACUUGUCAUCUGGUAUCUAAUUUUAAUUUUGGAAAAUAUUAAUUUUAGGACAUUAGGGAGUUACAAAAAAAUUUAUACUUUGAAUUUUUUUAGGCAGGAAAACUUGUAACAUUUCAUUAAUCAAAAGUAUUCUAUAGGUGGUAUUUCUACCAUUAAUUUCUAUUGAGUUGUGUAUAUAGUAACAUUGAUAUUGCUAAAUGUCGUGAGUGUAAAAUAGUUUUACACCGUCAUUCAAUAGGGAUUCAUCAUUCAGUUAUGUCAUAUAAUUAACUAAAAAUAUCUAGAUGACUUGGUAGAAUACACGAUGGUGAUUGGUUAGCGGUGUAAAAUUAUUUUAUACGGUCAAAACAUGUCCUUUUUUCUCUAUUGAGUAUCUAUCCUAUUUCAUUGUCAAAUAAUAAUCAAGUUCAUUUAGUUCAUGGAAUGGAAGCUUCUUGUCUUCAUGUUUUAGACUUAUAUAAUAGAGAUAUUCACAUAACACCAGUGUUGUUGAUGGUGGAUGGCGGUCCAUGGCGGAGAGGCAAAAUCCCGCCAUACCGGCCGCAAGUAUAUAAUAGAGAUAUUCACAUAACACCAGUGUUGUUGAUGGUGGAUGGCGGUCCAUGGCGGAGAGGCAAAAUCCCGCCAUACCGGCCGCAAGCCGUUAUUGCGGAUUAUGGCAGAAAACCCCGCAAUAGCGGCCGAUAUUUACCAUUGCGGCAAGCCCGAAAAUUGUCAUGUAAAUCCGCCAUAGCAGACAUGGCGGGGCAAUUUGAUAACACUGCAUAACAUUAUAAAUUAAACUUAUAUAAUAGAGAUAUUCACAUAACAGUAUUAAAUUUGUAUAAUAAUAUGUUGAUGCUUAUGUUUUAAUUUCAUGUACAAGCCUCAUUUUGAAAAUCAAGUCUUGUUUGGUGUUAAAAAAAUGCUUUCUAGUUUAUUUAAGAUCCAUUUGGCCGCCUGUUAUCAAACCGUUCAGGUCACGCUCCAGGUGUCCAGAGUUUGAUGUGAGGGGUCCGUGUUUAGAGUCCUACAUUAUAUGAGAAAAUUUCUAGAUAUGAGUAUUUAAGUGUGGCAGUCACACCUUACAAACUGGUGGUUUUGUAAUGUUUGAGAUAGACUGUACUCAAAUUCUCGGAACUUAUAUUACAAAAUUGAUAUUUUAUGCCUUAUUUUCGAAUUGUAUAGAAACUAGCUAAAACAUUUUGUUUUCACAUUUUCUUAUAAAAUAUAUGGAAUGAAGCAGAGCAAAAGUUAGGCGACAUUAUUGUAAUUACUCGUGAAAAUAUAAAACAUUUCUCCAAAUCAAAUCAAACCAAACAUGCUCUUAGUUUUUGCGCUUUCAUUUUAUUGCCGGGAUUUUGCGUUUCCAUCUUAAAGCUUGUAGGGAUUUGGAAUGUUGAUAUGCGUGGCUUCUUCUGUCCUCAUGCUUUGUUCAUCUAUGUUCUUGGCCUAUCAAACUGUCCCAAAUAUGAAGCAUUUGGGUGCAAUUGUUGCAAAAUAAAG